CUGUGUCCGUUUCUAGCCCUUCAUAAUUGUAGGUAUUAAUCGAUAGCUCUCUCAAAUGUUGGCAAAACUCUUCUAUUGUUGAUAGAGGGUGCUUCAAUUGAAAGAGGGUGAUUGAAAUUUUGGUCGGACCAACCUUUUGUUCAUACCCAUUCCUUUGGUCUCUAAUUGAGUCAUUUUUUUCAUCCUCCUUCUCUUUCUUCCUUGGGUGAUUCAGUGACGUUUAUUUCGGUAUUGUCCACUCUUGCAGUGCUUUUUUCCAGAAUCGGUGCCGGUCUAACCCCUUCCCAUGAUUUCUUAGAUAUACCUCUAUUCGUCAUCAUAUUGGGGAGCUGAUCAGUUUCUCAGCUUUGGAAUUGGUUUUUUGGGUGUGUCGUUGGUGACUCCAAUUUGGCGUGGAUUUCAUGGAUCCUUUUUGGGAUUGGUAGAAAGUCCAGCGUUUAUGGUUAAGCUGAGCUGAGUUUUUUUUCUGGAAAAUAUUACUUCCGUCGAAAAAUCUGUUUAUGCAAUUCUCUUUUGAUGGUGAUUCCGUGAUUGUUGUCGUUCAUAUAGUUUGUUUAAUUUUAGUUUCUGGUAGUGUGAUAUUUGAUUUAUUUAAAGUGUCUCAUCAUUUGCCGUAACUGAAGAAACCGGACAAACUAAAAGUUUUUUAAAAAAAUAAUUGCACAGAUGGCUGCUGAGGUGACUGCUGAGGUGGCAGCACCAGAAGAGAGAAAAGCUAUCUUU
rnacentral:lncRNA from 1 species